UCCCGUUUAGCUCAGUUGGUAGAGCGCGUCACUAGUAACGUGAUCAUAAGUCACAUUGCGCAUGACGAGGUCAGUCGUUCGAGUCGGCUAAUGGGAA